rnacentral:rRNA from 1 species
UGAGGAAUUUUCCGCAAUGGGCGAAAGCCUGACGGAGCGACGCCGCGUGUGGGAUGAAGGCCUUCGGGUCGUAAACCACUGUCGAAGGGGACGAUAAUGACGGUACCCUUGGAGGAAGCCCCGGCUAACUACGUGCCAGCAGCCGCGGUAAGACGUAGGGGGCGAGCGUUAUUCGGAAUUAUUGGGCGUAAAGCGCUCGUAGGCGGGAUCGAUAGUCCGUGAAGAAAGACCUGGGCUCAACUCAGGGAACGGCACGGAUACUUCGAUUCUUGAGGCAAUCAGAGGGUGAUGGAAUUCCCGGUGUAGCGGUGAAAUGCGUAGAUAUCGGGGGGAACACCAGUGGCGAAGGCGAUCACCUGGGGUUGUUCUGACGCUGAGGAGCGAAAGCUAGGGGAGCAAACGGGAUUAGAUACCCCGGUAGUCCUAGCCGUAAACGAUGGAUACUAGGUGUAUGUGGUAUCGACUCCAUCUGUGCCGCAGUUAACACAAUAAGUGUCCCGCCUGGGGAGUACGGCCGCAAGG